rnacentral:rRNA from 1 species
UACGUAGGAGGCGAGCGUUGUCCGGAGUUACUGGGCGUAAAGGGUGCGCAGGCGGCUAGGCGCGUGUGCGGUGAAAUCUCCCGGCUCAACUGGGAGGGGGCCGUGCAGACGGCCUAGCUUGAGGCUCGGCGGGGGGCGUGGAAUUCCGGGUGGAGCGGUGAAAUGCGUAGAGAUCCGGAGGAACACCGACGGCGAAGGCAGCGCCCUGGACGAGACCUGACGCUCAGGCACGAAAGCUGGGGAGC